rnacentral:rRNA from 1 species
UUUGAUCAUGGCUCAGAUUGAACGCUGGCGGCAGGCCUAACACAUGCAAGUCGAACGGUAACAGGAAGCAGCUUGCUGCUUUGCUGACGAGUGGCGGACGGGUGAGUAAUGUCUGGGAAACUGCCUGAUGGAGGGGGAUAACUACUGGAAACGGUGGCUAAUACCGCAUAACGUCGCAAGACCAAAGAGGGGGACCUUCGGGCCUCUUGCCAUCAGAUGUGCCCAGAUGGGAUUAGCUUGUUGGUGAGGUAACGGCUCACCAAGGCGACGAUCCCUAGCUGGUCUGAGAGGAUGACCAGCCACACUGGAACUGAGACACGGUCCAGACUCCUACGGGAGGCAGCAGUGGGGAAUAUUGCACAAUGGGCGCAAGCCUGAUGCAGCCAUGCCGCGUGUAUGAAGAAGGCCUUCGGGUUGUAAAGUACUUUCAGCGGGGAGGAAGGUGUUGUGGUUAAUAACCGCAGCAAUUGACGUUACCCGCAGAAGAAGCACCGGCUAACUCCGUGCCAGCAGCCGCGGUAAUACGGAGGGUGCAAGCGUUAAUCGGAAUUACUGGGCGUAAAGCGCACGCAGGCGGUCUGUCAAGUCGGAUGUGAAAUCCCCGGGCUCAACCUGGGAACUGCAUUCGAAACUGGCAGGCUUGAGUCUUGUAGAGGGGGGUAGAAUUCCAGGUGUAGCGGUGAAAUGCGUAGAGAUCUGGAGGAAUACCGGUGGCGAAGGCGGCCCCCUGGACAAAGACUGACGCUCAGGUGCGAAAGCGUGGGGAGCAAACAGGAUUAGAUACCCUGGUAGUCCACGCCGUAAACGAUGUCUACUUGGAGGUUGUGCCCUUGAGGCGUGGCUUCCGGAGCUAACGCGUUAAGUAGACCGCCUGGGGAGUACGGCCGCAAGGUUAAAACUCAAAUGAAUUGACGGGGGCCCGCACAAGCGGUGGAGCAUGUGGUUUAAUUCGAUGCAACGCGAAGAACCUUACCUGGUCUUGACAUCCACAGAAGAAUCCAGAGAUGGAUUUGUGCCUUCGGGAACUGUGAGACAGGUGCUGCAUGGCUGUCGUCAGCUCGUGUUGUGAAAUGUUGGGUUAAGUCCCGCAACGAGCGCAACCCUUAUCCUUUGUUGCCAGCGGUUAGGCCGGGAACUCAAAGGAGACUGCCAGUGAUAAACUGGAGGAAGGUGGGGAUGACGUCAAGUCAUCAUGGCCCUUACGACCAGGGCUACACACGUGCUACAAUGGCGCAUACAAAGAGAAGCGACCUCGCGAGAGCAAGCGGACCUCAUAAAGUGCGUCGUAGUCCGGAUUGGAGUCUGCAACUCGACUCCAUGAAGUCGGAAUCGCUAGUAAUCGUGGAUCAGAAUGCCACGGUGAAUACGUUCCCGGGCCUUGUACACACCGCCCGUCACACCAUGGGAGUGGGUUGCAAAAGAAGUAGGUAGCUUAACCUUCGGGAGGGCGCUUACCACUUUGUGAUUCAUGACUGGGGUGAAGUCGUAACAAGGUAACCGUAGGGGAACCUGCGGUUGGA